CGAGGCAAAGCCGCGAGGCGGAGCGAAUCGCUAAAAGCCGUCCCAGUUCGGAUUGCAGGCUGCAACCCGCCUGCAUGAAGUUGGAAUCGCUAGUAAUCGCGGAUCAGCAUGCCGCGGUGAAUACGUUCCCGGGCCUUGUACACACCGCCCGUCACACCAUGAGAGUCGGGAACACCCGAAGUCCGUAGCCUGACCGCAAGGGGGGCGCGGCCGAAGGUGGGUUCGAUAAUUGGGGUGAAGUCGUAACAAGGUAUC
rnacentral:rRNA from 1 species